rnacentral:rRNA from 1 species
AGCGAACGCUGGCGGCAGGCCUAACACAUGCAAGUCGAGCGCCCAGCAAUGGGAGCGGCAGACGGGAGAGUAACACGUGGGAACGUGCCUUUUGGUUCGGAAUAACUCAGGGAAACUUGAGCUAAUACCGGAUAAGCCCUUACGGGAAAGAUUUAUUGCCAAAAGAGCGGCCCGCGUCCGAUUAGCUAGUUGGUGAGGUAAUGGCUCACCAAGGCGACGAUCGGUAGCUGGUCNGAGAGGAUAAUCAGCCACAUUGGGACUGAGACACGGCCCAAACCUACCUACGGGAGGCAGCAGGUGGGGAAGUAAUUUGGACAAUGGGCGCAAGCCUGAUCCAGCCAUGCCGCGUGAGUGAUGAAGGCCC